rnacentral:piRNA from 1 species
UGCGAAAGGACUAUGAUGCUGUUAGCACC